ACGUGGGUAACCUGCCUGUAAGACUGGGAUAACUCCGGGAAACCGGAGCUAAUACCGGAUAGUUCCUUGAACCGCAUGGUUCAAGGAUGAAAGACGGUUUCGGCUGUCACUUACAGAUGGACCCGCGGCGCAUUAGCUAGUUGGUGGGGUAAUGGCUCACCAAGGCGACGAUGCGUAGCCGACCUGAGAGGGUGAUCGGCCACACUGGGACUGAGACACGGCCCAGACUCCUACGGGAGGCAGCAGUAGGGAAUCUUCCGCAAUGGACGAAAGUCUGACGGAGCAACGCCGCGUGAGUGAUGAAGGUUUUCGGAUCGUAAAGCUCUGUUGUUAGGGAAGAACAAGUGCGAGAGUAACUGCUCGCACCUUGACGGUACCUAACCAGAAAGCCACGGCUAACUACGUGCCAGCAGCCGCGGUAAUACGUAGGUGGCAAGCGUUGUCCGGAAUUAUUGGGCGUAAAGGGCUCGCAGGCGGUUUCUUAAGUCUGAUGUGAAAGCCCCCGGCUCAACCGGGGAGGGUCAUUGGAAACUGGGAAACUUGAGUGCAGAAGAGGAGAGUGGAAUUCCACGUGUAGCGGUGAAAUGCGUAGAGAUGUGGAGGAACACCAGUGGCGAAGGCGACUCUCUGGUCUGUAACUGACGCUGAGGAGCGAAAGCGUGGGGAGCGAACAGGAUUAGAUACCCUGGUAGUCCACGCCGUAAACGAUGAGUGCUAAGUGUUAGGGGGUUUCCGCCCCUUAGUGCUGCAGCUAACGCAUUAAGCACUCCGCCUGGGGAGUACGGUCGCAAGACUGAAACUCAAAGGAAUUGACGGGGGCCCGCACAAGCGGUGGAGCAUGUGGUUUAAUUCGAAGCAACGCGAAGAACCUUACCAGGUCUUGACAUCCUCUGACAACCCUAGAGAUAGGGCUUUCCCUUCGGGGACAGAGUGACAGGUGGUGCAUGGUUGUCGUCAGCUCGUGUCGUGAGAUGUUGGGUUAAGUCCCGCAACGAGCGCAACCCUUGAUCUUAGUUGCCAGCAUUUAGUUGGGCACUCUAAGGUGACUGCCGGUGACAAACCGGAGGAAGGUGGGGAUGACGUCAAAUCAUCAUGCCCCUUAUGACCUGGGCUACACACGUGCUACAAUGGACAGAACAAAGGGCUGCGAGACCGCAAGGUUUAGCCAAUCCCAUAAAUCUGUUCUCAGUUCGGAUCGCAGUCUGCAACUCGACUGCGUGAAGCUGGAAUCGCUAGUAAUCGCGGAUCAGCAUGCCGCGGUGAAUACG
rnacentral:rRNA from 1 species